rnacentral:rRNA from 1 species
GACGUAGGGCGCGAGCGUUGUCCGGAAUUAUUGGGCGUAAAGAGCUCGUAGGCGGUUUGUCGCGUCUGCUGUGAAAACCUAAGGCUCAACCUUGGGCUUGCAGUGGGUACGGGCAGACUAGAGUGCGGUAGGGGUGACUGGAAUUCCUGGUGUAGCGGUGGAAUGCGCAGAUAUCAGGAGGAACACCGAUGGCGAAGGCAGGUCACUGGGCCGCAACUGACGCUGGAGGAAGCGGAAAGCAUGGGGAGCGAACAGG